GGCGGAAGGUGCAAGCGUUGCUCGGAAUCACUGGGCGUAAAGGGUGCGUAGGCGGCUUGGUAGGUCUGGUGUGAAAGCCCCGGGCUCAGCCCGGGAAGGGCACUAGAAACUGCCAAGCUAGAGUGCCGGAGGGGAGAGUGGAAUUCCUGGUGUAGCGGUGAAAUGCGUAGAGAUGUGGAGGAACACCUGUGGCGAAGGCGCCUUGCUGGCCGAUUUCUGACGCUGAGGCGCGAAAGCGUGGGGAGCAAACAGG
rnacentral:rRNA from 1 species